rnacentral:lncRNA from 1 species
GGAAGGUCAUAGUGCAUAAUGUGUGUUUCAAUAUUUAUGUUGACUCAGAUAUAGUUAAACUACAUGUACAAGUAUGAAUUUUGAACAAAUUAUUUAGAAAGAUCAAAUAUUUUAUCUUUCGCUACACUAUGUAUGUUAUACACAUCUACCAUGGUAUUCUCAUUUCUUUGAUAUGUAUAUCAAACAUAUGUUAGAGAUUAUGGUUAUACGUUAAGCAAAUGUGCUUAGAAAAAUUGUUUCUGACAAUGUUUCAGGAGACAAAGGCAAGCAAGUGGGGUAGAUUGAUAGAAUCAUACAUGUUCCAAAAUUUAUUUUGAACAACGUAAACUUUACGAGAUACUUUGUCAGGUUAUGCAAGAACAACUUGAAUUCAUGUAGUAUAGCUUGGAUUAGAAUGUUCGGGGUCUUUUGGAUGUGUAAAUGUAUGUAUAUAUGUAAUGAUAGGACAAAUACAAUCUCUCUACUGUUACGGGCACGUGUUUUUGGAAUAAAUAAUUUUUAAAUAUUUAUUUUCUUUUUGGCUCCAAAUAUAUACAUCUUUUGCUUUCCCAAAUGAAAAGAAAAAAAAGAAUUUUGAAAUUCGGUGUGACAUCGCCUCAUGGAGCCACGUGGGAUCGGGGGUCAUCACACUUUAACUAUUUCAAAUUAUACUUAUUUGAAUUUUUGUAGAAUGUGCAUUGACUGUUUUGCAAUUAUUUGAUUUUGCGAGGACGAACUUUAUUCACUAUCGGACUCGAUUGGAUGGACUAUACUAAUAGGGAUGCAUAUGCAAAGGUAAUCUCGAAUACAUAUCUACACACCUCCAAAUAUUGAGCUAGAUAACAAUUGUAUUAAGUUUUGUUUAUUUAUCUUAUCGAGGGCUAUCGUUAACUCAGUCGACCACUGGCUGAGAUAGUGACUUGUCCUCACUUUUGUUGGUUUAGGAGUUACGAGGGAGAUGGAGUCAUGUUUCCGUUUGGCCUUGAUUAUCACGUAAGCAAGCACGAUUUACUUCCCAUUCAAAUACAAAUGCUAUCUUUGUUGUAGAAGUUGACUACUUUCAACUACGUAACUUGUAAUUUGGUAUGAGAAAUAUGUCUUUAUUCAUCCAUUGGUUUUGUGCAGGUACGAUUAGAUUGACCAUGAAAUUUCCUUGGAUGGACCACAUGAAUGCGAUGGCUUGGGGCAAGUAUAGGCCCCCUGAAGUCCAAAUCUCAAAGUAAGGUCUAAAAAUCGUGCAUUCAAUUCUAUACAUGUCUUCUCGUUAGCCGUCACUAACUUGAGUUAGAAGUUCCUUGGGUUCUUCACUGGGUGGGGCUCUCACGAUGGAUCUAGUCAACUUCUUCGUCGAGCUUCUAUAAGUCGGUACGAUUUAGUCAUUUUCAUGUGUGAUACUUUGACUAUUUCAUAUUAUACUUAUUUGCCGAACUACUCGCGAAUACAUAUAUCUCCACACCUCUAAAUAUUGAGAUAUGUAACAAUUAUAUUAAUUUUUUUAUAUUUAUCUUCUUGAGGGCUAUUGGUAACUCGGAAGGCCACCGAUCGAGAUAGUGAUCUUCACUUUUGUAGGUUUAGGAGUCACAGGAGAAAUGGAGUCAUGUUUUUGUUCGGCCUUGAUCAUAACGCAAGUAAGUACGAUUUUCUUCCUCUCCAAAUACAAAUGCUACCUCUGUUUUGAUAAUUGAUUACCAUUAACUACGUUACUUGGUAAUUUAGUAAGAGGAAUAUGUCUUUAUUCACUAUAGGUUUUGUGUAGAUACGAUUAGAUUGACCAAAAAGUUUUAUUGCAUUGGACAACGUGAAUGCAAUGCCUUGGUCUAAAGUAAAGGCCUCCUCUUAUAUAAAGAUUCACAUCUCAAAGUAAGGUCUACAAAUCGUGCAUUCAAUUCUCCAUAUAUGUCUUCUCGUGGUCAGUAACUAACUUGAGCUCGAAGUUCUCCGAAUUCCUCAAUGGGUGGGGCACUAACUGGGUCUUCAUUUGUAGGUCUCCGACUCAUGGUGGAUCUAGUUAUCUUUUUCGCGAAGCUUUUAUAAAUUGAUACGAUUUAGUUAUUGCCAUGUGUGAUACUUUGACUAUUUUAAAUUUUGCUUAUUUGAAUUUUUGUAGAAUGAGUAUUGAUUAUUUCACAAUUGUUUAGUUUUUGAGAGAACUAACUCUAUUAUCCAUUGGACUCGAUUGGAUGGACCAUGCUAAUAGGGAUGUCUAGGGCCAAGUACUCUCGAAUACAUAUAUCCAUACAUCCAAAUAUUGAGGUACUAAAAAAUGCAUUAAAAUUUUUAUAUUUAUCUUCUCGAGGGUUAUUGGUAACUUGGUCGGCUACUGACCGAGAUAGUGAUAGGUGCUCACUUUUGUAAGUUUAGGACUCAUGGGGGAGAUGUAAUCAUGUUUCCGUUCGGCGUUGAUCAUUACGUAAGUAGGUAUGAUUCUUCCCCUACAAAUAAAAAUGCUACCUUUGUUAUAAAAGUUGACUUCUUUUAACUACGUUAAUUGCUAAUAUGAUAUGAGAAAUAUGCCUUUAUUCAACCCUUGAUUGUAAAGGUACAAUUAGAUUGAUCAUGAAAUUUCAUUUGAUAGAUCACGUGAAUGGGAUGCCUAGGCCUAAGUAAAGGUCUCCUCCUAUAUAAAGAUCCACGCCUCAAAGUAAAGUUUAAUUGGGAGCGAACUAUUGAUCUCAUGAAAAUAGAUAAGGGCCAAUCACACGGGGAGAUUAGUGGCAAUGUAGGUCAAAACAUAAGCACGAUCGAUGUCCACAUCUGAAUUAUGUGAAAUGGGACUAAUGUUAAUGCACAACACAAUAUUCAGAAUGCGACAUCAUACGGAGAGUAUGCUCUGAAUGAUUUUAGUCCUAGACCAAGAAGUAACAUCACAAGUCAAAACCUAUGACAUAUGAUUCUUAUUAAGAAUCAUAUUUGUAGUUGAUUCAUCAGUCAGAAAAGAAAAACAAAACUCCUUCAAUGGCAGAACUCCAGAUGCCCAACCUAUGAUCUCAGGGAUGAGAACUAUGUUAUGACCCCUCACAUAAGACGCUCCAUUUACCCUAGCAUUAGACUGACCAAUCCUAGACAAAAACUCCUGAACUAAGGUUAAGUUGGCUCGACCCUGAUAAUUAAAGAAAUAAGACCAAUGACGAUCCUGUAACCAAGAGCUUAAGGGCAAGUGCGAAAAAUCAUUAAUAAACACAGGACGCUCACACACAAGACUGAUUAGAGAAACGAGUGUGAAACAUGUUCUCAGCCUCACGAGAAGCAAAUGUAGUGGGAUCACGUAAAGGCUGAGAGGGCCUAGAUGUGGAAGCACGCUUUCCCCUAGCCGUGGUUUUAGACUUGGGUGCCAUGGAUCUGAAAACACAUAAUCACUUAGAUCAACCCUCAUGAACCUACUAAACAAUGUACCAUGACAAUGCAUAAAUCCUAAAAAUUAACACAAAUCAUAGACUAGAUGUGAGAACAAUGUGAAAACAUGAAAAAAAUUAAGCCUAGAAUACUCAAACAUUAAAUAUAUUCAAGAAGACAUGAUGAAAAAUUGCAUAAAACAUACAAAGUUUUGGUUAAUAAUUAAGAACCCCAAAGUUAAACUAAAUCCUAGGUUCAAAUAUGAAGCAAUAACCACUAAUUAGAUGAAAUAAACAACCUAGAGUCACAAAUUACACACAAAAUAGGAAUAAUCAAGCAAAAUAAUGAAAACCCACAUUUACCGAAGUCUGGAGAGUUAAAAGCUUGAAAUCAACAAAACAAACUUGAAAAUCAUACCUUGUGAUGACGAGAAUCAAGAUUGGAGGAUGAUUUGAGAUCAAAGUUAGUAACCAAGUGGGAUUAAGGAGAAGAUAUCGAGAGUUCAGGGGAGAGAAGUAAAAGUUAGGACGGAAAUAAAGUUAGGACGGAAAGGGGCCAAAAAAAGCUAACUAGAAAUGUGAUUGCCCCUGUUUUAUGAAACUUAGGCGCUCACCAUGGGGCUCUUGGGUUGCACGAUCGAAAAAGAAGAAUAAAAGGCACUCACUAUUAGCUCUAUGGGUGCGCGCACGAUUUUUUUUUACAACUAAAAAAAUAAAACACAAAGAAAAUCAACCGAAGUUAGCAAAAUAAACUAACGUGGACGGAAUCGAAAAUGACACUUAUUGUAAGGAAUCAUAAGGAAAUAAGAUCACAUCUUUCAUAAACCAAUUUGAACAACCUAAAGUAAGCUUAUAGUAAUAACAAUGCUCUCAAGACUUUAAAUAACUAAAUCAACAAUGAGCACAAUGAACUUCAAGUAGUGUGUGUUUGGGAGACAACACAUAUAGCAUUGAGUAGGCAAGAAUCAUGGAGAAAAAAGAAUCACGCCCUUUUUCUAAUGCAUCCACAUGCAAUGAGAAUUCAAACAAAACAACUGUCCAUUUGUCAAGAGAGAAGAUAGAAGAAUCUCUCCCUCAAUGAAAAAACCACCUUAUAUCAAGAAUUGAACUCUUUAUGCGCUUUCAUAGGUGGCUUUCACAUAACUGAGCAUGAUAGCCUUCUUCACGCCUUAAUGCCCUUUGUUCAAGGUGGAAAUUUAAAUUUCCGGGCGUGGUAUCUUUCACUCUUUACCCAAAGGUACCCUUUUCCUCUGGCUAUAUUUAUUUUCUUCGCACACAAUGGAGGGGAGGAAAUAAAAAAAAAAAAUAAAGUAGAGAAUGAGAAAAUGACAAGUUACUAUAAUUGGUCAAUCUCAAAGCACAUUGUAGUAGGAGAAUAUAAGGGCAACAAAUAUCUUGACAAUUCAUGAAUAUAACAAUAACUAUUGAUCUAUCGCUAGUACAUAAAGUGCUUGAACGAAAAAAGCAAUCACCGAGAUUAUGAAAUCAAAGUAUCAAGAUUAUCGAAAUCACCAAAGUUUCACAUUAAACUGAUCAAAGCAAUGCAUGAAUGAGUGAACACAACAUAUAAUCAAGCACAUGAACUUUCUAAGUGAGCGUCCAAGAAUAUCAUCCAAUUUUUUUUGUUUGCAUUAAAGAAAAAUUAAGACAAAGUUAGGUAAGGGCGCACACACCUACUGAAUUUCGAAGGUAAUCAAAGCUGAAGUAAUCAAGAGAUUUUAUAAAAAGAUCUUCCUUUUAAUUUUCUGUAGGAACAUAAUCGAGUGAAAUAAUUUGAUCCACGAAUAAAGUGAUGACGAAUGUCAAUGUGUUUAGUGCAUGAGUGUUGGACAAGGUUCUUGGAAUUAUUGAUCGCACUCGUGUUGUAGAUUACUUGAAGGGUCUUCUUCGCAUGAAUUUCGUGCAAGAUUACUUGAAGGGCUUGAACUUUACUAAUUAUAAUUUUAACAUCCACCAUUAGGUUAUUGUAAGGGGGAUAAAAUUCCAAGUACAAUCUUUGACCGAGUUAGGGCAGACACUGCUACUUGGCUGUCGAUAUAUAGCAGGCUCCGCGGGGGUCUUUGCGCCGGAACUUUGUCGAAGACACAACAUCAGCCCGGAGCUUUGUCGAAGACACAACAUCAGCUUUGGCCUAGCUAAGGCAGACACCGCGUCCGGGCUAUAUAGCUUUAUAGCAAGCUCGGUAGGAUCGCUGCGCCGAAACUUGGUCGAGACGUAAUAGUCGGCGAGAUCCCAAGGUACAUCAGGGGACAGAAGGUGACUUGCACAACAAGAUUUUCUCUGACAGCCCCCACGCUUGGAUUGAGAAGUUGACAACAUAAUGACUAGCUACCAACCAAGCCUUAGGCACAUGGCUACGUCAGUCGCUGAGCUGCAGUUUGUCUAGUGACAUGACAGUUGACGAGUCCCGGCACACGCCGAAUUGCUAUACAAGGCCAACCUUAGUUUUUUAAAGUUAUGCAAUUUCAGCUAUUGUAAGCUUAUACACUCUCUCUCUACAUAUGCU